UACAGGGGGGGCAAGCGUUGUUCGGAAUUACUGGGCGUAAAGGGCUCGUAGGCGGCCAACUAAGUCAGACGUGAAAUCCCUCGGCUUAACCGGGGAACUGCGUCUGAUACUGGAUGGCUUGAAUCCGGGAGAGGGAUGCGGAAUUCCAGGUGUAGCGGUGAAAUGCGUAGAUAUGCGGAGGAACACCGAUGGCGAAGGCAAUCCCCUGGGCCUGCACUGACGCUCAUGCACGAAAGCGUGGGGAGCAAACAGG
rnacentral:rRNA from 1 species